GAUGAACGCUAGCGGCAGGCUUAAUACAUGCAAGUCGAGGGGCAGCAGGGGUAGCAAUACUCGCUGGCGACCGGCAAACGGGUGCGGAACACGUACAGAACCUUCCUUUAAGCGGGGGAUAGCCCGGAGAAAUCCGGAUUAAUACCCCAUAGUAAUAUUUAAUGGCAUCAUUAGAUAUUUAAAGAUUUAUCACUUAAAGAUGGCUGUGCGGCUGAUUAGGUAGUUGGUGCGGGAACGGCCCACCAAGCCUUCGAUCAGUAACUGGUGUGAGAGCACGACCAGUCACACGGGCACUGAGACACGGGCCCGACUCCUACGGGAGGCAGCAGUAAGGAAUAUUGGUCAAUGGACGCAAGUCUGAACCAGCCAUGCCGCGUGAAGGAUGAAGG
rnacentral:rRNA from 1 species